rnacentral:rRNA from 1 species
GAUGAACGCUGGCGGCGUGCCUAACACAUGCAAGUCGAGCGAUUCUCUUCGGAGAAGAGCGGCGGACGGGUGAGUAACGCGUGGGUAACCUGCCUGUACACACGGAUAACAUACCGAAAGGUAUGCUAAUACGAGAUAAUAUACUUUUAUCGCAUGGUAGAAGUAUCAAAGCUCCGGCGGUACAGGAGGGACCCGCGUCUGAUUAGCUAGUUGGUAAGGUAACGGCUUACCAAGGCGACGAUCAGUAGCCGACCUGAGAGGGUGAUCGGCCACAUUGGAACUGAGACACGGUCCAAACUCCUACGGGAGGCAGCAGUGGGGAAUAUUGCACAAUGGGCGAAAGCCUGAUGCAGCAACGCCGCGUGAGCGAUGAAGGCCUUCGGGUCGUAAGACUCUGUCCUCA